CUACGGGGGGCAGCAGUGGGGAAUAUUGCACAAUGGAGGAAACUCUGAUGCAGCAACGCCGCGUGGAGGAUGACACUUUUCGGAGCGUAAACUCCUUUUAUGUAGGAAGAAGAUGACGGUACUAUAUGAAUAAGCGCCGGCUAACUCCGUGCCAGCAGCCGCGGUAAUACGGAGGGCGCAAGCGUUACUCGGAAUCACUGGGCGUAAAGAGCGUGUAGGCGGAUUAAAAAGUCAGAAGUGAAAUCCUAUAGCUUAACUAUAGAACUGCUUCUGAAACUCUUAAUCUAGAAUAUGGGAGAGGUAGAUGGAAUUUCUGGUGUAGGGGUAAAAUCCGUAGAGAUCAGAAGGAAUACCGAUUGCGAAGGCGAUCUACUAGAACAUUAUUGACGCUGAGACGCGAAAGCGUGGGGAGCAAACAUGAUUAGAUACCCCGGUAGUC
rnacentral:rRNA from 1 species